GUUCUUGGUACUCAAUGAUCAUUUAUUAAUACACUCAACUUUUAAUAAGAGUCCAAGCUAUUAAGUUACCUCAAGAUCUUAGAAAUUAUCUUAAAGUUGACAUACUAAAAAAUACAAUUCAAGUAAAAAGUUUUCUCCAUUCACAAAAUUCAUUUGCAUUCCAAUGAACAAGAAUUAUUUGUAUUUCUAUCUAUUUCGUACAACUAACAGAGGGCUGGACCCUUCUGGAAAACUGAGGCAGCACAGAGAUUCCCCCUUCAAGCCCCAAUUCUUGUGGUCAAGUCAGAAAGACUUCAGAAAUGUCACUCAGAGUAACAGGCAUGAAUUUAUUGAAAGGAUAGGAAAAGGGAAAGGGGACACUCUAAAGGGAGACAGUGGGUCCAUCAGAGAGGACCUGAACUCUAGUUUUAUUGGGGAUUCCAGAGUAGUUUCCAGAGAGUUACACCCAGGUCUACCUCUUAACAUUCCACUGACAGCAGGAUUAUAUCAAACUUUCAAGUCCCUACUGCCAUGACAACUCUAGAUUACUUUGGUCCUUGCUGACUGGUUCUAAUUGGAUUCUUCACCAUAAAUGCUUACAGAUUUUAUGAUUAGGAAGGAAUUAUCCUUAUCUCCCUGCAUUUUAGGAUCAUUUAUGAAAAGGAUCACAAAAGUCUCCCCCUUCAGGGUAACUUGGGUUCCUCUUAUCCACAUUAUUUCAGGUCUGCAUUUCUCCUGCAGAUAACUAGUUUGCUGAGGAAUGUGGCAUAUCCUGUCCACUUAAACCAAACAAGUUUGUGGGUAAAUUACUUCUUGAAAAAGAAAGCCCUCAGGUAAUCACAGUGGGCCCAAUUUAUAGAAUUAUUUCCCUUAACCUUGUGUUCCCACCACUUGCAUCUAUUGUCCCCUAUUAGUACAAUAACUAAAACAACGAAAGAUGUCAAAACUAGCAAGCUUAUUCAAAGUACAUGUAUGAAGACAAGAACUGGUGUAAGUAUACUUUGUAUACAACCAGAGAUAUAAAAAAUCUGUGCUCUAUAUGUGUAAUAUGAAUUGUAAUGCAUUCUGCUGUCAUAUAUAAUUAAAUUAAUUAAAAAUGCAGCAAUGAAUUAAAAAAAAAGAAAAAUCUAACAAACUUGUGCAAUACAACACCAAGCAUUCCACAGACUACCCUGUAAUCUUUUUUUCUGAUCUUUUCAAAUCCUUUCCUAUUUUUUCUGGACACUAUUUUCUUCUACUUCUCAGUGCCUCUUCCCCACUAUCCUUAAGCUGUUCUAAUAACCUCACAGGUAUAGCCUGGUGAAAUCUGAC
rnacentral:lncRNA from 1 species